CUUGACGGAGCCCAGGUAGAGCGGCCGGUCGUCCGGUCGGUUCUGGCCGUAGGUCCGCAGCAGUGCCUGGGCCUC
rnacentral:antisense_RNA from 1 species